rnacentral:lncRNA from 1 species
CUUCAACUGAUUCAUGGCAAUGGAGUGGGACAUGAGAAUCUCUUUUCCUCCACUUGAAAAAAUUAGGAUCUUCCCAUGCCUUGUAACCAUUACUCGAUGGAAGAACCAUUUGACUGAUUAAAGAAGACAUCACUUUACUUGGAGUUACACCUCUGCAAAUACAGAUUUAUGUCUUUAGCCUUGAAACGAUGGAAGAACCAUUUGACUAAUCAAAGAAGACAUCACUUUACUUGGAGUUACACCUCUGCAAAUACAGAUUUAUGUCUUUAGCCUUGAAUAUCUGAAUAAAACAAAUGUACAGGAUCUCAGCUAUUGAUGAAGCUUGUAAGAUGGAUUUUCUCAUAACCAAAACAAAUUAUGGAUAAAACACAUGUGCAGAUUUAUGUCUUUAACCAAGAAUAAAGAUCUUCCCAUGCCUUGUUAACGAUUCCUAGUGAAGCAUAUACCUUCACAUGUUCUUAUCUAUGUAAGUAUUUAUGUAUAUCCAAGUUAACUGUAAAAUCCACAAUAAAAGACAAACUUAUAAUUUUUUUUAUUAUUGAUAACAAAUAAAUCCUUGAGGUCCAAUAGCACGCGGUUCGAAACUCGAUGGAUAAUAGGCACCUGCUCUACCCUUCUCCGCUUGAGCUUUUGUCCGCAGUCAAUGGCCGAAGCAGAAUUUCCUCUAAGGGAGUUCAAAAGGAAAAAAUUCAAAAAUUAAAAGAGAUUGUGGCUAGUGAAAAUGGAACUAGCAACCUCGUAAAGAUUUUGAACCCCCUUAACCACUUAGCUAUGCUUUUGAGCUGUAUCGAGUGGAUUCAAAAUAUAAUAUAUAGAGGCACAAAAAUAUGUACAUUGUACAAUGUAAUUUUUUUAUGAAAGGGGCCCCCUUGCGCCCCCUAAAUCCGCCCCUGUUCGCGGUAGGGUUCGAAUUUGAAUGUGUCAUAUACACCUAACUCACACAACACAAGUUGUGAUCUUACCACUAGACCAAUGCCCUUGGGGCAACUUAUAAAUUUUUAUACUGGGCUGUUGGAGCUUUAUGAAGGGAGCCUUAUGAAGGGUGCCUUGGCGUAAUUGGUAAGUUGUUCUCAUAUGACCAGGAGGUCAUGAUUCGAGCCAUGGAAACAGCUUCUUGCAGAAAUAAGGCUUUAUGGUCCGACCCUUCCACUGACUCUGCGCAUAGCGGGAGUUCAGUGCACCGGGUUUUUGGUGCUUUAUCAGGUGGGUAUAUGUAGUGCACAAAUAGAACAUAGCUUAAAAAAUUUAUACUGCAUAUUAUACAAGCAAUAUACCCAUUUUAGGGAUUACAUUGUCCAAUACUCAUAAACGUUUUCAAAUGGACCAUAUAUCAUUAAGUAAAUCUCUGUAGACACAUAGUAAUAGACAAAGGCACACAGAAAAUGGGUAUUAAAAAUUAUCCAAAGGAUAUGAAGUAUGGAUAUACACUUCUUCUUGAAGUUGCCACACUGAAUAAGAAAAUUGCUUCGCGUGUCAGUACCAGGUAAGUGAUGAAAGUUCUUAAUAGACCAUCUAAAUUGUUUGUAAUUCUUAAAAAAUAUCAAAAGAAUCAAGAACAGUUUCAAUGGAUAUUCAAAAGUAAAAGGACGGACGAAGACUCCUAUAGAUCUAACUUAUUAAGAUUCUUAC